rnacentral:tRNA from 1 species
CGGGUGUAGCUCAGCGGUAGAGCGCCUGCCUUCCAAGCAGGUGGUCGUGGGUUCGAUUCCCAUCGCCC